GGUGUAGCUCAGUGGUAGAGUACCUGCUUAGCAUGCUUGAGGCCCUGGGUUUGAUCUCCAGCACC
rnacentral:tRNA from 1 species